CUGGUGGAGUUCGGUCGGGCCUACCGGACCCCGGAGAUUCGGACCUGGAGGAAACAGAUUUAUGCUCUCCUCUCUAGGGUCUUGGAAGAAAAGCCCUCAUGGGGGAGGACACGUUGGGCAAGGGAAAAGAGUAGUAGAAGGUCAAUGAAUAGUCUUUGAGAAUUCGGGGAAGUAGCUUGAACCUUAGCCAAGUCAGGAGGGUGUAAUAGUAGACUCAUUUGUGUAGUUGUUAGUCCAGGAAAAUAACUAUUUUAGCACUGGAAGACCCUUAUCCCAGAAACCUCUCAGUUCUGGGCAAACCAGAAUGUAUUUGGUGUGAGUUCAGGUGACUGACAGUCAGCAAGAGUCUGGUUGGUGUCAGAGAGGACCACUGGGGGCAUAAGGUAUUUAUGUUAAUGAACACGAAUAAGGACAAAGGAGGAACUAUUUAGAAGUUAAGUAUUUGAGGACACUGGGGUAUAAAAUCAUUGCGAUGGGAAAGGAAAUCAGUGGAGAGUACUGAGCACUGAGUGUCUGCAUUAUUGAAGAAUCAGUAGAGGAUUUGGGGGUUGCUAAGGAACCAAAUGUUAAUGUGUAUUAAUAGUAAUCAGUGGGGGAAGAGGGCCAGUGAGAUUUGGAGAACUAGGUAGUCCAUAGAAUGGCUGUGAGGGCCAGGCAGGGACCCCAGUGACAAGGACUGGCACCGCCAACAGAAGCAUGUGUUUGGCUGAGCAAGGCUGGCAAGCCCAUCUACUCACACUCACGGUAUGGCAGCAUGGAGGUGCUGUCAGCUACUGUGGGCGUGAUGACAGCCCUGGUGUCCUUCAUGCAGAGCGCGCUGGGGAUAACAUCUGCGCCAUCUACCCUGGCAGUAACAUCUGCGCUAUCUAUGCUGGUGAGCAAAGUGUUGGGGAGGAGAAGGGGAGCCAAGGCUGGGAAUGUGGCAGGUCGGUUGGCCACUGGAGGUGUGUGUGUCUGUCUCUCUGUCUGCCUGCCUACCUGCCUGCCACCCGGGGCACCAGCAGCCAGCCCUGGUGAGCCAGGGUCUGACUCUGUGUCAGCACCUUCCUCUGUUUGGCCUGGGUUCUGCAUGACCGGCAUCUCUUGAGUAUCUGGCCGGAUGCCCCUGUGCUGAGAGCCUGGUUGUGUGAUUGUGGGCUGAGCUGGGUGCUAGCUCAGUGUCAGUCUUGCCCCAUGUCACUGCCUUACUUCCUCUGGUUUCCUAUCUGCUAGUCAUGCUCCUUACCAGUGACUGGAAUAAAACAUUUGUCCUCACAGUUCAGACUCAUUGUGGAGUUGUGUACUGGAGAAGAAGCAGUGCCUUUGUUCUCAUCUUCCUCUUGAAAAAGCAGGCAGCUUGGGGCUGCUCCUUUAUUAAGUAGGUUGUGUAUAACUUUUGUGUGUUCCGCCAUCAAAGUGAACGAUUUGUCAUUGUGUUCCCUUAAGAUAAAUACUUAUGGGAAAAUUAUAUGAAGAGAGAUUUUGCUAAGAUGUGAUUAAUUAAAAGAAAUAUUCAGGUAUAAGUUAUUUUGAUAAUUCAUUGAGAUUUUAUUGGAUUACAAUUUUACCACAUUAAAAAAUCUCACUUAAGAUAAUUAUAUAAUUUAAAAAUCACGCGUGAUAAUGUGCCCGUGUCCUGAAUAAGUAAACCCAUUGCAAAAAUGACUGAGAAUUGCUGUUCAAAGGCUCAGCAGAGCUGUAAUUGCUGUUUGUUACUUUUCAUGUCAAGUACGGAAAGGUACAAGAACACUGGGCUAAGUUGUUGGUGCUUAGAGAGGGUGUCAAAUACAUUCACUUGGCCUCCUUCAUAAUGAAUCAGCUCUCUCACAGGUGCCUUUCAUAUGCAAAAUUGUACACUAAGUACGAGUUCUGUUUGUGGGUUGACUUUUAUGUUAGCAUCUGAGUUUAAUAAAAGCCCAAAGAUCGUUCUCACUUGUUCUGAGAAGCAGCUCUGGUAUAUUUAAAGGCAAUGGAUCCUUUAUCUCUCCUGAGUCCGCAGAGGCAGGAAAUGCACUGAGUUAUUUAGUGGUGAUUUUGACCCAGAUGUGAAUGAAGCUGUGGUCUAGGGGAAGAGGACAUCUACUCAUUCUCCCCAGGAGAGCAUCGAUAACAGUCUUCCAUCUCCAGGGUAUUUUCAAUAAAACCUGCUCGAAAGCCAAAGAGGCUCAUUGAAAAGUCUAAUUAGAUUUCUUAAGGACACUGUGAUUUUUCAGAUAUCUUGUCAAAUGGUACCUAAGAGGAGACAGGUCAUGCUACAAGCAGAAGAUAAACACAGGUCACUGUUAGACAGGUGUGUGUAAAUAACUUUUGUGUUAAUUUGGUUUUCAAGAUAUAUUUCAGGGUAGUAGACUUGGCAAGCAAACAGAUGCCUUUUAUGGUUAACUUUUCCUUUAGGCAGACAGUAGUUGUCUGAUUUGCCAGUUCACUCUUCUACUCCCUCUUUUUGUUGAGUGAUUUGAACAAGAAUCAGACUCUCCUACCUGACUCUAGCUCUGACUCCUCCUUUGAUGAUGAGCAUGAUUUUCUGCAGACCUCUUUUAUCUUUAUGGAUUAAAGAUACUGAAAUCCAUUUUUAGUUUAAAAAAGCCCCUUUUCAUAGGUAUGACUUUAUAAGUAAUUUAAUUUGUUUUCUGAGGUCCUAUAUUAUUAUGUAUUCUUGCUUAUGAGAGCCAAAUUUCAUAAAUACUUCUUGUAAUUGUUCCUACAUUUACUGUCACAUCUUCCCAGAAACAGUCCUUUCUCUGUAAUGGAAAGGCACUCCAUCAAAUUCCAGUUUCUUGGUACUUCCAUUUUUCUCACAGACUUUUGUUAAGAGAAGUCUUCAUUUUACCAGCAAAAGUCAUGCUCUUGGUUGGCACAGAUAUAAUCAAGGCUUCUUUUCCAUUAGGCAAGGCCACCCAAAAAUAUAAGUCAGUUAAGGGCUUUCAUAAGCAUCUCACCAGGAUUGCUGUGAUGAUGAAGAUACCUGUCUUCAAUUCCAUCCUCCAUGUUUCUUGUACUAGCCUUUACAGUGUUUUGGUCUUCUAGGAAUCAGAUAAUAGGAAAGGUAGAUGGUUUUUCUUUUGUUUUUGUUUAGUUUAGUUUUGUUUUUUGCUCAUUAGCAUUGUAAGCACAAUUAUCCAGGCAGAUAAACGAUGCUCUGCAUUUCGAAGGCCCUGUGCAGGAGCACCUUGGAGUAAAGCUAUUUUGUUUGAAUUCUGUGGUUGGCUGUUAAGUCCCUAGUAGUUUCCACUCCGUGUGCUAAUUCUAGCCCAUCACUAGUGCUGAAGCAGAGAGUUGUUGGUCCAGUUCGCCAGGAGAGAUGAAUCUGGAAACUUCUGAGCUUCUGAGUUGAAGUUCACAGGGGUUAACCAGCCUAGGAAAACUUCAGGGAAAAAAUUUGAACUCUAUGAAUCAUCCGCACAGGGUAAAGGGCUGUGUGAAGAGAAGCUGAGAGUGACCUAACAUUUGGAUGGUGUCCUUUAUAUUCUGAGUUUUAGUGCAGAGAAGAGAUUUCCUCGGGGGGUCUGGCUGCGCCACAGACUGCUACAUGUCUGCAUUUUCUGGAUUUCACCCUCCUAAAGCCGGAAGGAACUGAGCAACAUUGAGCAGAUUUAAAACAAAAUUCCAUCCUUAAAAAGAUGUAACACCAACAAAAGGGCAACCAGCCCACCAGACAACCACAGAGGUUUCUAUGAAAGUAAAGCUAUUCAGGGAGACAGACAACGACAUGGAUGAAGUAUAGAAAGAAAUUUAACAUAAUUCUAGGAAAGCAUUGAAAGACCUUGAGGAACUAACAAGUAGGAUUUUUUUUUCUGAAACUAAAAAAUUCAUGUGGAAUAACUAAGUAUCAGUAUUCACAUUUUCACUUAUUUAACAAAAAAAAGAGACAGCUAACUUGAUCACGUGGUAUGCUGUGUCCCUCUAAAUGCUAUACCUAGGGGUCUUGCUGAGGAGGCUAAAGAGAAGAGCAAGCCAAGCAAUGCUCAGCCACAGCAUUUGAUUAUAAUUUACAGAGUCAAAUAAAUUUCCAUGUGUCUAUUGUAACAUGCAUAGUAAUUGGAUAAAUCAUUGAUCACUCACAAGGGACUGCUCUUUGUAGAGAAAUAUCAAAUCAGUAAAUGUGGAAAAGGAAUAAGAGAAAUCCAAAAUUGCAAUUAGCGAUUCACUACUAUAAUAAUAUUUGAAAGGUCUGCCAAUGAAGACCCAAAUCAGCAAGUGAAAAUUUGAAAAGAAACAGGCUAUAACACAGGCUGAAAGUAAACUACAAAGAAGAAAUCUGACACUUCAUUGACCAAGAGCUUAGGGUCCAUAUCACGAGGAAUAGGACCCAUUGACAUAGGUACUCAAUGAUACCACAUAUCAAGAAGAACAGGGCAUCAUUCUGGGGAAUUCUUGCCAAAAACUGCUGAAGCUUGAUUUAAUGGAAAAUACCAGGCAAACCCAAAUUGUAUGAUAUUUUACAAAAUAACUGAGUAGUUAUGUUAGGAAUCUGAAUUGUCAAGGUCAUGAAAGACAAGAAAAGAUUAAGGGACUCUCAAUCAUGGGAGGCUGUUAAAAAGUCUCAGGGACUAAUUACCAUCAGGGACACUGAAUUAUAUUCUAUAGAAAACCAGGUAAUCACAAUGGGGGAAAUGAGAAAUAUGCAUAUGAUUUCUAGUUUUGUAAUUAAUAUUGAUUUCCUGCUUUUCAUAAUUGAAAUAUGGAACCCAGGCACAAGGUAAAUGCAAACUCAACCAGAUUUAUUAUUUUUGAAUAAAUCUAAAAUUAUUUCAAGACAAACAUGUUUUUAAAAGCUAGAGACAUGGCAGUUUCAUGUGGACCCAUUGAUUUUUGUGCAUUUGCAAACUAACCCAUAGACACUACAGGGAUAUAUAUAUAUAUAUUUUUUUUUUUUCUUUCCCAGUACACAUUUGAAUUUCUCCCAAAAGCUGCUGCUAGUGCAUGAGCAGACACACGUGCUCAUGUAAUUUGCAAGGCCUGUUGAUAAAGUUCUGCCUAAUUACUAAUAAAAUGCAUUUAUCAUACAUGUGUUUAUACUCUGCAUGAUAAGUAAAAUCACACAGAAGUCACUGAUAAGUGCAGCACACAAUUUAAAAUGUUAAUUGCCCCUUAAUGUCACUGUGGGUAAAUUGGUGUUGCACAAGAGUGACAUUUUUAGCACUAAUAUAUAUAACACAACUUGUUUAAAACACGUUUUGGCACUCCAAAAAUAAAAUUUCAUAAAUUUAGAGUACUGACUAAUUGGUUUUCAUUAAGGUUUCCUUAAUUAGAUAUUUGCUAAAUAGGGUUAUUAGUGAUCACAAAGUGAAUCUAUAAAGCAACUUGUAAAAAUGUAGAAUUUGCCAUGUAAUGGGCUAUUCCUGGUUGUUACUAUCAAGAGAAAGCAGGGUAUGUGAUAGAUAGGCCACAUUUUGCUUAAUGUUUGCUUUGAGGUAUUUGAUUGUUCUAAAUAGGUAGUAAAUGUCCAUUUAAAAACAAAAGCAAUACUUAGCAAGCUGCAUAAAAGAUUACUGAAGGGAUGCCUAUAUUUCCACCAGUUUUCAUCAAGUAAGUGAAAGCAAUCACCCUCAAUCACCCUAUCUGCCAGAGUCACUUUCAGAGGGAGUCAGGCUGACUCCCAUGGAAACCGCAGCAGGGAGGGUGUUUCAGUCCUGAGACUGAAACCACUGGCAGCUUACAAACACACCUCUCUCUCUCUGUCUCUCCCUCCACCCUGCCUCUCUCACUCUCUUUCUCUGGCUCUGCGUGCUACCCCAAAAUCUAAAUGGAUUUCAAAUCAAUUUUUCAAACCAAACAAAAUUGCUCUGUCUAAUCUAUUAUAUAUAAACUGUACUCUUUAAAACUAAUAAGUCAAAUACUUGUAACAUUGUUUUUAAUUGUGACUACCCUGUGUGUAGAUUUGGCAUGAACUAUAAAGUAAUUUACAUCACAUAAUUGUUGAUCAACCAACUUUCAGUUCUACAUAAAUGCUUUGGUAACACACAACAGAUAAAAUUAAAUGAAUGACCGUAGCUUCCCUCUUUUAUAGAAUGUAAAAAAAUAGGGAGAAGGCAAACAUGUUUCAGUGAGAGAAAAUAAAAGAACUAGAUGACCUGAGAUUUGCAACCAGAAAACAAAGUUUCCCCAGCAAACAUUUGUAUUUUGUUCCUUUUGCUUGCUUGUAAGAAGUAAAAUGAGGUUGAUUUUAAGUGUAGUAUUACACAAGACACUUGGAUUUUAAAAAAAUCUUUGGGAAUAUAUUUAUUGACGUUUGGUGUGGAAGAGGAGUUAAUUUGUUUAACUAGUAGUGGAAGUUGCAUUUAAAUAGUACAAUAAAUGUUCAAAUUCCAGAGACAAAGAUACUUACUCUUUAUAGUAGUUUUUCCUUCUCCUGAGGUGCAUCCCCAGAAAUUGACCCUUUAAUUAUGCACAGAAAACAACACGUUUCAGUUAUUUGUUUAAUCAAUGUUUAUUGAAUUAACUCUAUUGAGUUUGCGCAUCAGGCCCUGUGCUUGGUGAUGAAACAACGUGAAACAGAGAGAGCCCUCUGCUGACCUCACUGGUGCAGACCCACGGAGCCGGCAGGCAGAUGCUGGAGGAGGGGGGAGUUCUAAUAAUUUGCCUUAGAAAUGGGAGAUGAGGAAAAGCUGUGCUGACAAAAGAUGCUCAAAACAAUGGAAUGAGUCAACUAAUGAAUCUGAGGGGAAAAAAUUUACAGUAGAGGAAGAACAAAUAAAAAAUCUAUGCAAAUAAGAGCAGGAGGUGAAUGGGAAGUAAACUGGAUGGGACUGAAAGAAUAUUAGUGCAAAAAAAGUAGAGCUACUGGGGCCCUAGCUGAGACUAGGGCCAGGUCAAGAUUAUGUUUAAAUCAAUGACGCAAUUUACCCAAAAGCGAAAUUCUUAAUAGGGGAAUGUGAUAUCUAUAAGUAAUCUGGCACAGUAGGUUACCUGUGUGAAACACACGCUCAUGCUCAUGUUGCAACUUUGUGCCUGUGCAAUGAGAUGCAGUAGAAAAUUCUUGAAAAAUCCCAAGUGGAUUUUAAAAUGUUUUCACCAUAAAAAUGAGAACUAGGGAAGGUAAUGUAUAUGUUAGUGCUAUUUAGUCAUUCUACUAUAUGUAUAGCAUGUGUUAUUAAAAACACUAUGUUGUACUUAAUAAGUUUGUCAGUUUAAAUAACUAAAUAAAACUAUCAGCCUUCUCACCAAUAGUUUUUAGUAUAAGAAUUUACCUAAUUGUCAAUUAAUUGGUCAGUAUCUUGUCUGAGAUUUUUAUAUAAUAAAAUGUGGUUGUUGUCAUUGUUGUUGCUGUUGUUCUAUCUGGUUUAUUUUCUUUCAAAUAGCUACAAUCUCAUUUGAAGAGAUAGUGCUUUCCAAUAAUUUAUUGAGUGUUAUAAAUUUCUACUCAGAAAAGUUGGCCAAAUACACUCAGCAAAUGAAAGAAUAAUUCAAAGUCUUUCUCUGCCCUCACUGUCAUUUGUAACUAUCUUCUUUUAAUAUGCAUUUUGGAAGAACAGUUCAUUUCACUGCUCAAUUAAAAAAUUAAUUUGCUCCUCUUGAAAAUACAGAGAAACAUGAAUCAUUUAUAACACUUUAUUUUGAAUGAAAACAUGAAUUCCUCCAACAGAAACAUAAUUUACAGAAAGUUUAUCACAUGUACAGAUUACAAGCAAAUGUGUUGAUGUAAAGGGCAUAAAGUCAUGUCUAGUAUCAGCAUCCGGAAUAGGGAACUCAUUUCAUUCAGAGUGAACACAGAUUAGUCUGGCAUGACACAAAGAGUUAUGAUAUGAACUGGUUUUGCUAAUUCCUGGCUUGUUAAAAUAGAAAUGAAUCAUUCAAUGGCUUUUCAAAAAAUAAUUGUUGAGGCUCCUAAUUUUCAGAGAGAUAAUAAGAAAGCACAGACCCAGUCAAGGAUGAGACUUUCCAGUCUUUUCUCAGGAGAAACAAGAAAGAGCAGGCAGGAAGCCAGAGCCAUGGCAGGAGCCCAGAUCCGUUCUGGCAGAUUCACUGACUAUUUGAGGGUGAAUGAUGUAAAGAAAUGGACUGCACAUUACACCCUGACUAGGAAAUCCAGGAACAGGCAGUGACUUCAUCAGGAUUUCACACACAGAAGUAGAAAGAAACACCGGAGCACUGAUCUCCUUCUGGAAAGAUCAAACAGAAAGGAGCUGGAGUACAUCAGGCCCAGCUAGAUGAAGCAAGUGACAGAAAAUGGGGAUAAAACACCCCGAGCUGUGUCCUCCAAAGCUGGCUACUUCCUGGUCCCUGACACCUGUGAAUCUGUUGCCUUAGGGAGCGGCAAAGGGAAUCUAGGUGGAGAUGAAAUGAAAACACACCAGUUAGUUGGUGCUGAAACAGGGAGGUUACCCUGGAUCACUGGAUUGCCUUGACUAGAGGCCCCGUGUAAUCUCUAAGGUCCUUAAAGGGGGAAGGGAGGCCGUAAAGGUCAGAUUGGCACAGUGUGAGGACUUGGCCCGCUUUUCCUGACUUUGAAAUUCAAGGAAGGGGACCAGGAACCGAGGAAUAUGGGCAAUGAAUAGAUGCUGAAAAGGCAAGAAACUGAUGAGUUUUCACAAGGGAACACAAGCCUGCCGACCCAUUGAUUUUUUUUUUUUUCCUAAUUUAAAGAGAGAAGAAAAAGAAGAAAAAAAAAAGACAUAAAAAAAUGCAGUAAAAGGGUACAAAUAAUACAGUAUUUCUAGAAAAAAAUAUAUACAGUACAAAAUCACCAGUUAAUAGGUUACAUAUUAUCUUCCCAGAAACAGUUGUCCAUGUCACUAAAUCAAAGCAUAUAAAGUGGACAUUCAUACAGUGAAAUUGGAGACAGUUCCAUUCAAUGAUCCAACAAAAGCUCACUUAUAUGGUUUUCCAUCCUACACACUCAAACAUACCUGCGGUUAUAUCCCUUAGUCCACCUUACUUUCCUCUCUUUUUUACAGUAACAAUUAGACUUUUAGGGUUUUAUUACUCUCACGGUUCUUAUUACUUUUUUGAAGAAAAUAAAACCAAAUGUGACUAAGCAAAACAGAGUCAGUUAGAACAGAAGGGUGGGCAUAGCACGUGAUGCAAAAAUAGAAUACCAGCUGAUCAAAAGUGGUUACCAUUGUGCCUCUUGUUAUUUUUAAAUUGAGUUGUCUAUAUCAUCAGGUAUAAUAGAAUUGAUCAAAACAGUGUGGAACAAAACCAAUAAAAUGUACACUGAGGACCUUAUAGGACUUCAAAAAAAAAAAGGGUAAGAGUCAAUCCAUAUUGGGCAUCAUAGUAUAUCUUAUUGCCUUCAAAGUGAUUGCCUAUACCCUCAAACUUGAUACUAUCAAACAAAAUAGAAUAUAUAAUAAUCAGACGGAACCAGAUGGGGAGAGCAAUACUGGGGUUCAAGUCAGGUUAAUAGGACAACAAAAAAGUUACUAUAAUAUGUCGUGUUAUUUUUUAAUUUAGUUUUCCCUUAAUUAAAAAAAUGAGAGAAGAUAGAUUAAUUUAAAAAUAGGGGGAAGAUUGAGGUAAGAGAGGACACUGUAAUAGAACAACGCAGGGCAGAACCUAGCAAUUCAAGCAUCAUUGUGUUUCACCACCAGUUAAUCUAACAUAAUAGUAGUCGCCAUAGUGCCUCUUUCAAAUUAUUUCAGUGUAACUUUGCAUGCUAUAAUAUCAAGUAUAUCUAGACAGUGUGAUGCCUUUCAAGAGAAUGCAAGAAUUACAGGGUAUUUAGAACCUGCUAAUAGAAAACAAACAAAGGUUUCUAUAUUGUCUCUUUGCGACCUAGCCCAGUGAGACACACUUUGAAAUUCCAAAGUACAAUAGUGAAAGGUGGCGAAUUUGUAGUGUUAAACAACUACGUCACCAUGAUUUGUUACAGAAACAAUAGAAAAAUAAUAAAGGGGAAAUUAAAUAAGAGUCCAUAAGCAGAAUUAUAAGAACCUUCUUGCCCUCUUAGAAUGUGAGAGUUAGAAACUCUUUCUAAGGAGGUCAGUUUCAGAAAGCCUCAUCUAAUAUACAGCUUCUAAUCAAGUGUUUCAUCUAGAUGGCAGCCAAAGAUAAUCUGACAUUUGAGAAGUCUUCCAUGAAAGAACAUAAAAACAAACCAAUAAUAAAUACCUGCCUUUACAAAAGAAAAGUUAGGGGGAAAAGACUACAUAGUGGGAAAAAGAAAUUUUUAAAAAGCUACACAUGAUGUAAUAACAGAGACAAUAUAAAUUAGUAUAUUGGUGAAAUAAAUCAAGAAACUGAAAAAUACAAUUAUACAAGUUUUAUAAAUACAAAAACAAAAUCAAGCAUUAUGAGAAUAAAGUUGAAAAAAAUUUUUUCAAGCUGUAGCCAAAAAUGGAAAAUAGACAAAGCCACACAGAAAUUGAAACUCUUCAACUAUAAAAAAAAGUUCUAUAAAGAAAGAAGAAAUAAAAUGGUGCAUAAUAAAAAAUUAACUUGGCUCAAAAGAAAGUCUGGCCUUUGCCCUUGGCACCUGGAAAGUAAUUCUCAAGGUCUUCAAAUAUCGUGCCUUGCUUACAUAAGUAGUCUAUGACCUUCACAAGGGCAUUAUAAUCAUGCAAGUCUGAGGAACUAUUUUUGACCAAGGAAAAGUACAAACACGUGAUAGCUGAAUAUAACGUGUGAUUCUGAACUAGAUCUUUUUUGCUAUAAUAGACAUUAUUAGGAAAAUUGGUAAAUCUAUGAGGUCUGGGGAUUAGAUAGUAAUAACAUGUUAUAGUUCCAAAUUUUCUGGAGUAUUUUUCUUUCUUUCUUUUUUUUUUUUUAAAUCACAAUCCAUUGUUUCUGAACACAAGCCAAUAUUCAAACCUAGAAUCUACUGACGGAAACAUAUGCCCUAAGUCUUGGAAGAAAGACGCUGUACUACCAUAGAAGGUAAAUGUGUGAGUGAUUCACUAGUCCUUGCCAAAGAGAAUGCCAGCCACAUAAGAAUUGUACACUGUGGAGAAAGGGGAGGGUCUCGGACACUGUGGCUGAGUCUAUAAGAGCUCCUCUAAGAGUAAAGUUAUAUUGAAAAUAAGUGGAGUUCUGUCUCAGACUCAGCCAGUGGACACAGCUGUGGUCAUUUCAAAAGUACAAGUGGAAUAGAAAUCCCCAGUGUUGCUACUUCGCCACUUCCCCUGGUUAGCUAAUAAAGCAAGGUAAGAAGACCUGUCACACAAAGACAGCCCUAGAGGAAUUCUCUAACAGUAAUCCCACUGCUGCCCCAUUGGCCAAAAAAAAAAACAUCUAUGCUAGGGAAAGAGAACACAGACUAGUGCUACCCUGAAUGGGUGAAGCAUGCAGCGGUCUCUAAAGCAUCUCCAGUUAAUUCACUGGUCAGGCUCUUGAAGGAUCCAAACAAUGCUGAGAAGGAAAGCGAGCAGCACAGUGUCAAACAGAAGUCCCAAUCACAGCUGUUGUGCCAAAGAGCACUUCUGAAGAGUCUAUUUACGUGGUAUAGGGUCCAAAAUGUGGUAUGUGGCUACUGAUCUGAAAAUCUAUCCUUUCCCUAGUCUAGCUCACUGGAAAUCUGCUUUGAAGAAACCAUUUAUUUCAUCCUCAGCAGAGAAAUCUACUGCUUCCAGAAAGGCUCCUGGCAUGCUACUGGGCCCACCUAGAAAUGAAGAUCAUUAUUAUGAAACACUAAGUGUGGGCAGAGUCACCCGGAAUGGGCAGGGUUCUGUCAAACCCAGCAAGGCAUAGAGUUCACUGAGCCCAGCAGAAAGCAGCACAAAGUGGGGCAUGUGAGACCCAGGAGAGCACAGCUGCACACAAAGCACAGGCUGCACCCUGGGGCUCUCCACCAUUGUCCUACCAGGGCUUUUCCCUCAGCGCACACCCAGGGCUUCAUGAAGGGUCCCUUAUUACCAACUUCUGCAGCAGGGAAAGUUCUAAACUUGUCCUGGAUGUUUUGAGCUCAGCAUUAGGGAACAAGCUGAAAAUGGAAGGUUGCUCUAAACAGGGUGGCAUCACAGUGUGGAUGUCCCAGCCCUCCAAACACACACAAAAUGAACAGAUUCUUGGGUGGUCUCUCUGCUCAUUCACUUUGAGAAACGCUGCAAGAUUAUAAUUUAUAUGGACUUUUUGGGGUCAGUGAAUUGGCUAGCUGUAAAGAAUGCAGGUGGAGAUUUGGAAGAUCAAAGACAAGGAGAUUUGAGGUAAACGUAUGUAGUUGGAUAUGGAAGAAGGCAUGAAACACAAAGAAUUUUUUCCAGCCUGUGCUAACAUGGAAAAAUUCCUAGAUAACCAAGCAGACAGAAUGAUGUGAGCGGCUGGUAUCAACCAUUCUCAGUUACUGGUCACCAAGUCGCUCAUACAAUGGACACAACAGAGUAGUGAUGGAGGCAGGAGCGGAAGCUAUGUGUGGUUUCAAGUAGCACAGGCUUCCCCUCAACAGGACCGAUCUAGCUACUACCACUUUCAAAUGGUCAGCAACAGAGGCCAGCAUUCAUUCUCCAAAAUGGUUUCCUUUACAGGCAGAUAAAUUUUGUGGCAAGUUGACCAUAUGAGAUCCCUUCUGCUCUGAAAGAUAGAGAUUGGUCUUGGUUCAAAUCAUCACUUCUUUCUGGAAUGAGUUGUCUUUACUGCCUGCAAUGCAAAAUCUUACACUACCCAGGGAGGGUGAGCAGAGACACCCUGCUGGCACCAGCACAUCUAGUAAUGUGUCUUCUCAUUUAAUCUCUGCUGUACUGUGAACCCUUGUGUAGGGCACUGUUUCACAAAGGCUUUAUCAGGGGAAUUUGUCUCUUAGAACAAUAAGUGAAAGAGCUGCUGUUACACCAUGGGGCCAAGGGGCAUGCAUUUGGGACAGAGAUAAUCAUUUGGCCAAUUUUAAUAGUAAAUAAAAAAGUACAGUAGCUACAACUUGAGAAGCUUAGAGAAGACAAACAAAGGUUCAAGCUGUUUGUAGUGUGGUCAGCUGAGCUAUGGGAACCUGGUUGGAUGGUACUGGAGGGAGAGGGUGAGUACCAAGCACGCAUCUACAGGGCAGGAUCUGUGGUUUAUUCCACCCUCCUCCUCAUUUAUGUCCCCAGGAAGUAGCUCUUUAAAGGCCCAGUGCUUCUGCUCUCAAAACACACAUGGAGUAGGUAGAACUGAGCAGACACAGGCACCUUCAGAGUCCCUGUUCUGUGCCACCAGACCUGUUUCAGGACUUAACUAUUCUCUCUAGUUCUCAGGCAAGCGUGGUCUCAUUUUUCAGGAACUGCAUGAGCUUGGACAGAGCCAGGUGUCUCAAUUCAUCCCAUGUACCCAGGCAGCCAGUGUGCACUGCUUGGUCUCUGAAGAAUAUAAACAUUCAGCCCUUCACUUUGACUCAGAGGAUCUCUACAGUGACUCCAGCAGAAUCAGCUGGCACUUGUCAUGAUGGCACUGCAGCCUGAGUCCCCACCUGCUUCAUUAUCCUUUCUCACACAAAGCUCUACAGCACUCCCUUCCACACUUCUUCAUGUCACUUUCCUUUCAAAGCGUGCUUUCCAGGGAACCCAACUGCAACAUCUCAUUACUGACAACCAUGGAAGCAGCUAAGAAGAGACGAGCUGAAGUAUGGAAACUGAUGGAGAUGAAGGGCAACGGAGAGCUCUUCCUCCUGGGAAGAUCUGAUGUUGAAGAACUGAAGAAUAUAUUGAAGGCAUCUCAUUUAGCUGAUAUGUGAGUUUGAAAACCAAAGAUCCACUGGACGCACUUUGAUGCAGAAUGUGUUCAAUUCAUUCUUCUAUCAGGUGGGAAUAUUUGAUGACUCACGCAAUCUCUGGUAGAUUUCACAAAACUCAUACAAAAGUGCUUUACUUAGAAUUGUCUUUCUUGGAACCAAGGACCAUGAACUUAUUAAACGAUUUUCAAAAAAAUAAUCUAUCAAGGCCAAUGAUUGAUUAAAUAGAGGCUGAUCUUCACAUACUUGGACAGUGGAUAGGGUCUAAAACCGUAAGUCAUUUUGAACAAGGAGACAAUCAAAAUAGCUUAGAUUUUUUUCUAUACCACUAAGUAGUUGUCAAAAUUUCAGAUUUUGGAAAUGCGAAGAUUAAGAUGCAGAAUAAAAAGAGACACUGAAGUCACAGCUUCAUUAUGUGCACACACACAUGCACAUGAUUGAACUCACACACACGUGUUAUUGUUGUCCACCUAAGAAGAUCAUUUAAGUGCAUUAUGUGCUUUUCAUCUGUUAAACCGAGCUGUCUGGCUGAAAAGGACACCAGCACUCUCCGAUCUUGCAAGAGAAUUCUGUGACUCUGUUAUCCUGAAAGACAAUACCAUCUAAUGGAAGAUAGUUUUAAGUGAUAACUUCUCUCUGGUAUUCUCAGGUUACUCAUCAUUACGUUUUUGAUUGUUUGUUGCUUUUAAGCUAUGUCUGAAAAAUGUACUAAGUAUGGUUUAAAGCACAAUUCUUGGGAGUGGAUAAAGAUGAAGCUGUAGUCUAGAGUGGAUGAGGACUAUUUCAACAAAAUGAACACAUCGCUUCCACUGAUAACCCCGACUCAUGCAGGUGUGCCUUCAAUGCCACAUUAAUUGCUCUCUGUUUACAUAGUGUUUAUCUUAAUUUCAUGAUAUUGGGACAGUACAGUCACCUUGAAAUAAGAAUGUUAAUUGUGUAUGGCUUUCAGUCCUUCAUUUGAAAUCACCAGAAAGCUUUUUUUUUUCAGUGUUAAAUUAUAGUAAGCUACAAUGUAUUUUCCUGUAUAACAUUUGUGCAUUUAUACUUUAUUCACUGGCCAAGCUCACUGAAGAGAAGAGAUAGAAAAGACAUCAUCCAAUUUAAAUACAUAGGAACCUUCCCACAACAACUGCUGACAGCCACAUCAUUGUUCCCUGGCAAAACUUUAAAUCUGCUGCAACUUGAUUUCACCUGUUACAAUCAUCAAAUGUUUUUCUAUUUUUCUUUCAUUUUUUGGUUGAUUUAAAAGGAAAAAUACAUAACUGCAGCAUUUGUCAAUGGUCCACAAUAAUCACAAAAUCUUUCAAAAGGAUUAAACAUGCACAGGCACACACACACACAUAUACACACGCAUCCACAUUAGUAAAGAAGCAUACGUCUAUAUAUCUUUUUACUGUUUUAAGAGAAAUCAAUUGUAAUUUCCUAACAUUAAAAUUUUAUACAACAUCUCUUAAAAUAUAUUCUGCAUUUUAUUUUGAAAAUGCUUUUUAUUAAGAGAAAGAAAGUAAUUGAUUACAAAUCAACAAAUCAAAACCGUGGUCUAUAAUGUGUCAGUGCAUUCUGAUCAAAAUGCUGCAACCUCUAGCAAUGCAAAUUACAAAGGGCUACAGAGCUUCACCAUCUGCAAACCUGUCUACACUUUAGCUACCAACAAGGUUAAUACUGCCACUACAUAAAACAAAUACUUGGACAGAUUUAGAGCUGUGAUGGUGGAUGCAUUCAUCUUUACAUUGAAUAAACACUACUGUCUCUACGUUAGAUCUUUCCCUUGGCACCACAGGUCUGCCAAUUUAAAACAAAAUAUACGUCGUUUACCAACAUAAGUCCUUCAUGAACUGUUACUCUAAUUCAUCCCCUUCAAAGUCAGUCAGGCAUUACAGGAACAUUAACAUGGGUUUAGUGCUAUGAGAAAGACAGACAAGUUUUGUAAACUAGAAAAUUAGAGGAUAGUAACAGUGAACGUACAUAUUUCCAAAUCUUUUAGUAUAUACAAGCGAAGGACCCUAAUUCACUUGGGAGGCACUUGGAGGUGUGAGCGCGGACAGCAAAGUGCCUUUCUUAUUUAAUUGUCUCUUGGAAUCCAGAGACAGUUCCAAGCAAGUAUCAUGUUUACAUGGCUUCAGAAUUAAUUAUUGUAACAGCUCUAUAAUGUUAUUUAUAAUUCCUCAAUCUCCUAGUGGAUAUGUGCAUUCUAGUCAGAAUGCCCUAGUUAGUGGACCUCAUAGAUUGUUGGUACUUUCUGAGAAAUGAACUUCAGCAUUCUAGAAGAGAAGUGACUGGAAGGAGAGGUUUAGUGUGGAUUAUGUAAUAUGCUAUUUCCUUCCAAAGGACACCCUUUAAUUAGGUUACUGGUUGUACAGGACAAGGGGCAUAGUUGCAGCUCAUAUUUCAAAUAAUGUGUAUUGGAAGUUCAUGCCUCAAGGAGUACAUAAGUUAGAAUUUUUAGCAUAGGAAAUGGGGCUCUAUAGUUCAAUUUGUUACCUUUUUCUAACAUAUUAAAAGGUACUACAUGGAACGUAGUCAUGGGAGACCAAAGAAAAGCUGAUGGGAAACUGCAGAAAAUCAAAAAUACAAACCUACAAAACAACUGACAUAAAGUUUGGGGAAAAUAUUCUCAGAAGUGUAUUCAUUCGAGGUAUUACAGUUGUAAUUAAAAAAUAAUUUUUGCUGUGUUAAGAAUUGUUUUUUCUAUAGAAUCAACACAUUUAAUUGAAAACAUUUUACAGUCUUUGGGAAAUUGGAAUUACUCUUAAUUACUGUCACCAUCAAACAAUGAUAUCAAAUAAAACAGAAAGCUUUUAAAGGUAAGAUGUCAUAUAUGGACACCACUGUACUCGGAGUCUUUUUACAAAUGAAUUGUGUGUUCAGAGCUAAAAUCGGACACUCAAAACGAAAUGUAUCCAAAAUCAUUAAGAAGAGUCAAAUAGAAAAAGAGCAGUACAAACCAGCCAAAGACAACGAGACAUUUUUCCAGACUACUGAUGUAUUGAGCGUAGUACAGAGAAAGGCAAAGGGGCUUCAUAUACUUUUGGCCACUGAAGAUGCAAACACCAGCCAAGUAGGAUCUUAGGAGCGUUUCCAGGUCUAUGAACAACACCAGGGGAGACUAAAGCAAACGCAGCAUAUGUUCUCAAACAAAGCAAGGUCAUUAUAGUCCAGUUUUGUACUUUUUAUCUCUAACAAAACUUAUGUAUUAGACAGUUAAGAGACCGGGACCACAGUUCCCACAUUUAAAAACUGUAGUCACUAAGCAAGUGAAACUGGUUUUCGAUCAUGUCAGAACAGCUGGAAAUUAAGGGCAGUAUCUAAUUCCUUGUUACACAGUGACGCCAUGAGAAGACUGUCACUAGAAGAGGCCUCCUGGAGCCGUCCGAGCCUGGACAGGGCAAGAGGGCAGCGCUGCAAAUCCAUCGCCUGUGCAUUCAGUGUGAGAGCAGUUCUUGUCCAUUUGCAAAGCCCCUGGCUAUUAAACAAACUCUCAUCGGUAUAAGCAAAAUCACAGCUGCCAAUCAAAAGAAGUACUCUUUCUGAUUCUCAUUCACUGCAUUUUGUAUAUUAAGCUCGCUUUUCAAAACAGUUGCAGCACUGUCUACAUUCUCUGACCUUUUUGCCUCAUUUCUCUUGUAUAACCUUUUCUGCUGAUAAAUGCGG